rfam:Mosquito flavivirus gene for polyprotein, complete cds, strain: YDFV/Oct/2013
CCCCAGUCCCUAGGUCAAGGCGUGACCCCGUGGUGUUGAGAGGACA